rnacentral:rRNA from 1 species
AUGAACGCUGGCGGCGUGCUUAACACAUGCAAGUCGAACGGAAAGGCUCCUGCUUGCAGGGGUACUCGAGUGGCGAACGGGUGAGUAACACGUGGGUGAUCUGCCUUGCACUUCGGGAUAAGCCUGGGAAACUGGGUCUAAUACCGGAUAGGACGAUGGUUUGGAUGCCAUUGUGGAAAGUUUUUUCGGUGUGGGAUGAGCUCGCGGCCUAUCAGCUUGUUGGUGGGGUAAUGGCCUACCAAGGCGUCGACGGGUAGCCGGCCUGAGAGGGUGUACGGCCACAUUGGGACUGAGAUACGGCCCAGACUCCUACGGGAGGCAGCAGUGGGGAAUAUUGCACAAUGGGCGCAAGCCUGAUGCAGCGACGCCGCGUGGGGGAUGACGGCCUUCGGGUUGUAAACUCCUUUCGCUAGGGACGAAGCGCAAGUGACGGUACCUGGAGAAGAAGCACCGGCUAACUACGUG